rnacentral:rRNA from 1 species
UCAGAUACCGCCCUAGUUCUGACCGUAAACGAUGCCAACUAGCGAUCCGCCAGUCGACUCAUCGCUCUGGUGGGGAGCUUCCCGGAAACGAAAGUCUUCCGGUUCCGGGGGAAGUAUGGUUGCAAAGCUGAAACUUAAAGGAAUUGACGGAAGGGCACCACCAGGAGUGGAGCCUGCGGCUUAAUUUGACUCAACACGGGGAAACUCACCCGGCCCGGACACCGUAAGGAUUGACAGAUUGAUAGCUUUUUCAUGAUUCGGUGGAUGGUGGUGCAUGGCCGUUCUUAGUUCGUGGAGCGAUUUGUCUGGUUUAUUCCGAUAACGAGCGAGACUCUGGCCUACUAAAUAGUUGACGCAUUGCCACUGUGCGCACAACUUCUUAGAGGGAUUUUCGGUGUUUUCAACCGCACGAAAUUGAGCAAUAACAGGUCUGUGAUGCCCUUAGAUGUCCGGGGCUGCACGCGCGCUACACUGGCAAACGCAACGUGCCUGUCCUGCCCCGAAAGGAGCGGGUAAACCCCUGAAAUUUUGCCGUGAUUGGGAUCGGACAUUGCAACUAUUGUCCGUGAACGAGGAAUUCCUUGUAGGGGCGAGUCAUCAACUCGUCCCGAAUACGUCCCUGCCCUUUGUA